UGGAUAUCAGGCAAGAUGCUAGCAUAGUGAAUAAGUCCAGCUACAAUACUGCUUGGCGUGUCGAGACCGUCUACGGUCAUAGCUGAGUCAUAGAAAGUCCCCCCCCCCCCAAAAAUUAAAAGAUACCAAUGCAUGACACCACAGUUAUGUGAGAUCAUGGGCUGAUUAGUCAUUAAUCCAUCGAGAUGUCCCAUUUGAAAUAGAUGAAGGAUUGGAUUGAGGUUCGUAAUGACCCUGAAGUAAGAACCAGAUGCCAGGUAUAGUUUCGGUAUAGAAACCCCCACGUUGAAAUGGGCCCGGAGCGAGAAGAGAUACACGCCCAAGCAAGGGUUGCUGGUUUCUCGA